rnacentral:rRNA from 1 species
GUGGGUAGUUUGACUGGGGCGGUCUCCUCCUAAAGAGUAACGGAGGAGCACGAAGGUUAGCUAAUCCUGGUCGGACAUCAGGAGGUUAGUGCAAAGGCAUAAGCUAGCUUGACUGCGAGAGUGACGGCUCGAGCAGGUGCGAAAGCAGGUCUUAGUGAUCCGGUGGUUCUGAAUGGAAGGGCCAUCGCUCAACGGAUAAAAGGUACUCCGGGGAUAACAGGCUGAUACCGCCCAAGAGUUCAUAUCGACGGCGGUGUUUGGCACCUCGAUGUCGGCUCAUCACAUCCUGGGGCUGAAGUAGGUCCCAAGGGUAUGGCUGUUCGCCAUUUAAAGUGGUACGCGAGCUGGGUUUAGAACGUCGUGAGACAGUUCGGUCCCUAUCUGCCGUGGGCGCUGGAGAAUUGAGGGGGGCUGCUCCUAGUACGAGAGGACCGGAGUGGACGCAUCACUGGUGUUCGGGUUGUCAUGCCAAUGGCAUUGCCCGGUAGCUAAAUGCGGAAGAGAUAAGUGCUGAAAGCAUCUAAGCACGAAACUUGCCCCGAGAUGAGUUCUCCCUGAGACUUUAAGUC